CGACCUAAGGUAGGGUCAGCGAUUGGGGUGAAGUCGUAACAAGGUAGCCGUAGGAGAACCUGCGGCUGGAUCACCUCCUUUCUA
rnacentral:rRNA from 1 species